GACGUAGGGCGCAAGCGUUGUCCGGAUUUAUUGGGCGUAAAGAGCUCGUAGGCGGCUGGUCACGUCGACUGUGAAAACCCGCGGCUCAACCUCGGGCUUGCGGUCGAUACGGGCAGGCUAGAGUUCGGUAGGGGAGACUGGAAUUCCUGGUGUAGCGGUGAAAUGCGCAGAUAUCAGGAGGAACACCGGUGGCGAAGGCGGGUCUCUGGGCCGAUACUGACGCUGAGGAGCGAAAGCGUGGGGAGCGAACAGG
rnacentral:rRNA from 1 species